rnacentral:rRNA from 1 species
UACGAAGGGGGGCUAGCGUUGCUCGGAAUCACUGGGCAUAAAGCGCACGUAGGCGGCUUUUUAAGUCAGGGGUGAAAUCCUGGAGCUCAACUCCAGAACUGCCUUUGAUACUGAGAAGCUUGAGUCCGGGAGAGGUGAGUGGAACUGCGAGUGUAGAGGUGAAAUUCGUAGAUAUUCGCAAGAACACCAGUGGCGAAGGCGGCUCACUGGCCCGGUACUGACGCUGAGGUGCGAAAGCGUGGGGAGCAAACAGG